rnacentral:rRNA from 1 species
GAUCCCUUAUAAUAAUAAAGAACGUUAAGUUUCGCUCUUAGAUGUUUGUAUCUCGUGCGUGGUAGUAGUUAGGAUUAAAAGCCUAACUAGCUAAACGCACGUAGUCGUAACUGAAAGGUUGAUCGACCACAGUGGGGCUGAAGAAAACCCAUGACGAUUGUCACAGCAGUGAGGAAUUUUGGUCAAUAGCCUAACGGCUGAACCAGCAACUUGGAGGAAUGUAUAGCAAUAGCUACUUGUAUCAUUAAUGAUGCAAGCUCGACUAUGUUGAAUAAAAUUCUAGGUAGAAUUAUGAUAAUGACAUUGUCUGCCUAUGUGUCUUGACCAAAUUACGUGCCAGCAGUCGCGGUAAUACGUAGAAGACUAGUGUUAUUCAUGUUUAAUCGGUUUAAAGGGUACCUAGACGGUGAAUCAAGCUUUAAAUAAAUAAGAAAUAAAAGGGACUAAUUUACUAGAGUUACUUACGAGGGGGUAUUAAAGUACUGCUGGUGUAGAGAUGAAAUUCUGUCAUACCUCUUUUCGAAAGAAAAAUCAUGGCACAGGUAUAGGCGAAGGCAUCCCCUUAUGUGAUAACUGACGUUGAGGGACGAAGGCUUUGUGUAACAAACAGGAUUAGAUACCCUAGUAGUUUAAGCAGAAAAUGAUGAAUGUCAUAGAUUAGACGUCUAAGUUUAUUCUAUAAAUGAAAGUGUAAGCAUUCCACCUCAUGAGUAAUUUGGCAACAUUGGAAUUGAAAUCAUUAGACCGUUUCUGAAACCAGUAGUGAAGUAUGUUGUUUAAUUUGAUAAUCCGCAAAAAACCUUACCACAAUUUGAAUAUUUAUAUUAUUUAUUGUUAUCUCAUUAAUUUUCUUCUUUUUUUUACUUGAUUAAACAAUUAAAGAACAAAAACAGGAAAAGAGAAUAAAAUUAAUCAAGAGGCAAUAACAUAUAUCUACAAGCGUUGCACGGCUGUCUUCAGUUAAUGUCGUGAGACUUAGGUUAGUUCCAUUAAAUUAACGUAAACCCUUACUUUAUUUUUUAUAUAGAGUAGUUCCCCGCUAUAUUGGAUAUGAUAA